AUCCAGCUGACGAGCCUCAAAUAAGACGAAACUCACGUCCUGGAU
rnacentral:hammerhead_ribozyme from 1 species